rnacentral:rRNA from 1 species
AUUGAACGCUGGCGGCAGGCCUAACACAUGCAAGUCGGGCGGUAACACAGGGAGCUUGCUCCUGGGUGACGAGCGGCGGACGGGUGAGUAAUGUCUGGGAAACUGCCUGAUGGAGGGGGAUAACUACUGGAAACGGUAGCUAAUACCGCAUAACGUCGCAAGACCAAAGAGGGGGACCUUCGGGCCUCUUGCCAUCAGAUGUGCCCAGAUGGGAUUAGCUAGUAGGGGGGGUAACGGCUCACCUAGGCGACGAUCCCUAGCUGGUCUGAGAGGAUGACCAGCCACACUGGAACUGAGACACGGUCCAGACUCCUACGGGAGGCAGCAGUGGGGAAUAUUGCACAAUGGGCGCAAGCCUGAUGCAGCCAUGCCGCGUGUAUGAAGAAGGCCUUCGGGUUGUAAAGUACUUUCAGCGGGGAGGAAGGUGUUGUGGUUAAUAACCACAGCAAUUGACGUUACCCGCAGAAGAAGCACCGGCUAACUCCGUGCCAGCAGCCGCGGUAAAAC